GGUAGAGCAUUAUUUGGGUCAACAUAAAUAAGAUAUGAUUAAUUAUUCAUGUUAAAAACCCAUGCAUGAACAUUUUAAAUUUGCAGGAAGAAGAGAGUUUGUAUAAUUAUGGAGUUUAUUUUUUCGGGAUUGGGUGCAAACACAUUAGCUGUUGUGUACUAGUAUGGUGAUUAAGUGUCUUGUUCUAAUCUAUUUUUCAUAUAUUUAUGCAAGUAACUUAGUAGAGAAUGCAAAGAAGAAUGAUGACUCCAGUUAGACUUGGAAUGCUUUGGUGAAAAAUGUCAUGUAACUCAGUGUACUAUCACAAAGAUUAUUUAUUAGAUGUUAGAGAGCUAUAGAUUUAGUAGAUAAGCGCUAGUUGGUGGAUUCUAUGAGCUGGAAGUGGGGAAAAAAAGGAAAG
rnacentral:misc_RNA from 1 species